GACGAACGCUGGCGGCGUGCUUAACACAUGCAAGUCGAACGGUAAGGCCCUUCGGGGUACACGAGUGGCGAACGGGUGAGUAACACGUGGGUGAUCUGCCCUGCACUUCGGGAUAAGCCUGGGAAACUGGGUCUAAUACCGGAUAGGACCACUGCCUGCAUGGGUGGUGGUGGAAAGCUUUUGCGGUGUGGGGGGGAUGGGCCCGCGGCCUAUCAGCUUGUUGGUGGGGUGAUGGCCUACCAAGGCGACGACGGGUAGCCGGCCUGAGAGGGUGACCGGCCACACUGGGACUGAGAUACGGCCCAGACUCCUACGGGAGGCGGCAGUGGGGAAUAUUGCACAAUGGGCGCAAGCCUGAUGCAGCGACGCCGCGUGAGGGAUGACGGCCUUCGGGUUGUAAACCUCUUUCAGCACCGACGAAGCGCAAGUGACGGUAGGUGCAGAAGAAGGACCGGCCAACUACGUGCCAGCCGCCGCGGUAA
rnacentral:rRNA from 1 species